GAGAGCCUGGGGCAAGCAAUGUACGUGGAGGAAAUCUAAAUUAUCCAGGAAUCCGCGAGUUAAAAGCUCAAAUUCCCGCUCCAUGCCACAUCAGUGUUUGGGAACCGAUGGGCAACGUCUCCGUCUCUUUUUGAAUCAAAAAAUCCCCCGAUGUCAACCCCGAUGGAAAAGCGGAUAUGCUAUUUAAAUUGGGGUAUAUUAAACUGGAUUUUCUCGAGGGGGUUUUCGCGGUCUUCACAUACAUACAAAGCUUAAGAAAAUGACUUUGCUUUGGAAGCGAUCAAAUCCACAAAUAUUUGAGGCUAUGAAUUCCCAAAUGGAAUCAACCAAUCAAUGUGCAUUUGUUGGAAUAUCCUUAUGGGUUGUGCAGUACAACCUGUGCUGCCCGUUUAGGUGUCCGCAAGCAAAACACAAAUCCUUUGAAAUGGAAUAUUUAAUAAAAAAUAUACAUAAGUAUAUAUAGAGGCAUGUUGCAUCAUCGUA